AUGUCCAGAUCCGAAGGUCAAGGCAAGUGGAUGGCCUCCUCCGUCAAGGAGAAGGAUAUUACUGAGCUUCGGGCGGCCGGGUAUCUGCCGAAGGAAGUCGCCCACCGUCUUCCAGCCAAGGGGCAAGUCAUCCCUACACCGAAGCCCAACGAGAGGGUGGUAUUCAUCCCUCAUUUCAUCCGCGGGCUAGGGUUUCCACUCCACCCUUUCAUCCGCAGGCUGAUGUUAUAUUACGGGCUAGACUUUCAUGAUCUAGCCCCGAACUCUUUCCUCAACAUCUCGGCAUUCAUUGUCGUGUGCGAGGCUUUCCUCCACAUCCAACCCCACUUCGGACUAUGGCUCAAGGUCUUUAACGUGAAGCUGAAGGUGGUGGAUGGCCAGCACGCAGAGUGCGGAGGCGCCAUGGUGAGCAAGAUGCCCAAUGCCAUCUGGCCAAAAGGUACUUUCAUGGAGACUGUCAAGGAGUGGCAGAAACUGUGGUUCUACAUCACAGAGCCCCGCGGCGCCACCUGGGCCGCGACUGCCGAAUUCAACUCUGGAGCUCUGAUACGGCUCACUUCCUGGAUUGAGAAGGGCCAAAAUUGGUCUUCGUCAGACGAGCUGAUAGUGCUGCAAACGCGCGUUCAAAGCAUGGUGGACAAAGAUAUCAAGCUCGUCGACAUAAUCCAGGUGAUGCUAGUUCACCGGAUUCUCCGGUGCCAAAGCCGAAGCCGCCCUUUAUGUGAAUUAAAUCGGAAGAAGCACCAAACUCUAGAAAGGCUCUUCAGAACCACUCACGAAGACACCUAG
rnacentral:rRNA from 1 species